rnacentral:rRNA from 1 species
UACGGAGGAUGCAAGCGUUAUCCGGAAUGAUUGGGCGUAAAGCGUCCGCAGGUGGCUGUGUAAGUCUGCUGUCAAAGAGCGAAGCUCAACUUCGUAAAGGCAGUGGAAACUACACGGCUAGAGUGCGUUCGGGGCAGAGGGAAUUCCUGGUGUAGCGGUGAAAUGCGUAGAGAUCAGGAAGAACACCGGUGGCGAAGGCGGCUUCCUGGACCGACACUGACGCUGAGGCGCGAAAGCUAGGGGAGCAAACGGG